AUGUUCCCCAUGUUCCAGGAGCUUGCACCAGACAACCUAGGUGACAAGUGUGGUCACCACUACGCGAUUUUCCUUGACAUGAAGAACCAACGAUUUGAGGUGCUUGAUUCAAUGCGUUCAAAAGCUGAUGAAGACCUUACUACACAUGCUAAAUUCUUUAUCAACAACCUGAAAGAGACAUGGAUCCGUCACUACGAAAACUCAAAGGUCCAGAUCAGUCAUUUUCCAAUCAAGUAUGUCGCGACUACGAAGCAAGGAAACCGGCAUGACUGUGGCUUUCACACGUUGGAAUACCUUACAAAGUGA
rnacentral:rRNA from 1 species